GUUCCUGUAGUUAAAAUUACAUAACAACGGCUUUUCAGGCCGUAGGUUUCGGAGAAAAGCCGGGCAGGAACU
rnacentral:tRNA from 1 species